GGCAUGGAUGAGAUAUCCAUGUUGUUGAGAUGUAGUUGGCCCAAGUCCCUGUUUCAAGGGAAAACUUACUUGCGGUCACUGCAUCAAUUUAUGAAAUUAUUGGAAUUCUCUGAGUC